GGAUGUGAGGGCAAUCUGGCUGAGACAUCUGUCACCCCAUUGAUCGUCAGGGUUGAUUCAGCUGAUCUGGCUGGCUAGGCGGGUGUCCCCUUCCUCCCUCAACACUCCUGUGCAUCCCUCCCGAAGCUGCGUGCUCUGUUGAAGAGGACGGCUUCCCCGAAUAGAGACGGAACGGUCUUCGGUCGAGGGUAUACGAGUAGCUGCGCUCCCUUGCUAGAACCUCCAAACAAGCUCUCAAAUAUUAGGAGCAUAGCAUUAAUGAUCUUCUUGUGUUUAAGCAAAGA
rnacentral:snRNA from 1 species